AACGCGAAGAACCUUACCAGGACUUGACAUGGAGAGGACGUGCCCAGAGAUGGGUAUUCCCGCAAGGGCCUCUUGCACAGGUGCUGCAUGGCUGUCGUCAGCUCGUGUCGUGAGAUGUUGGGUUAAGUCCCGCAACGAGCGCAACCCUCGCCUUCAGUUGCCAUCACGUUUGGGUGGGCACUCUGAAGGAACUGCCGGUGACAAGCCGGAGGAAGGUGGGGAUGACGUCAAGUCCUCAUGGCCCUUAUGUCCUGGGCUACACACGUGCUACAAUGGCGGUGACAGCGGGAAGCCAGGUCGCGAGGCCGAGCUGAUCCCGAAAAGCCGUCUCAGUUCGGAUUGCACUCUGCAACUCGGGUGCAUGAAGGUGGAAUCGCUAGUAAUCGCGGAACAGCAUGCCGCGGUGAAUACGUUCCCGGGCCUUGUACACACCGGCUAC
rnacentral:rRNA from 1 species